rnacentral:lncRNA from 1 species
UCUCACUCUGUCACCCAGGCUGGAGUACAGUGGCACAAUCACAACUUACUGCAGCCCCGACCCCUUGGACUAGAGAUCCUCUUGCCUCGGUCUUUCAAGUAGCUGGGACUACCGGUGCGUGCCACCACACCCAGCAGAGACAAUGACUGGGAGAAUGAUUAGAUGGACAGGGGAAGAAUCCAUGAUGCCUCUUGCAGCCUGAGGCCAACUGCAGUAGCGGACACUGGUGUUCUUCCCACUAACCUCCCCCUUCCAGGUGUCCCUAAGGAAGAGAGGCCACGGGCACCUUGGAGGGACUACUCCUGACCGUGUAUGGAGAACUGGACCUUGGUGUAAGGAAUGGACCAUGGCAGCCAGGGAGGGGCCCCCUUAGCUCUCCAUUCAACAACAACUUUGCCACUCAGCAGCAGGUGAGGCAGUUAGCAGACGCUCUCCAACUUCAUGAUCCACCUCAGCUUCUGAGCUGAAGCCUUGCUCUUCUGGGGCAACUUCCAGCCAAUGACUCAGGGUGAAAAGGGCACCAUAGAGACAGGCCAUUUGUGCCUGAUGCAAAAACUCCCUCGUGGGCAGUCUCGGCCCCAGAGCUCCCUGUCGGGGUGGCCAACACUUUGUUAGAUCAGCACCGAAGUCAGAGGUUCUCCCUGCCCGAUUCUGUUUCUGGCCCUCUUAUCUUUCACAGGACAUCACCCCCAAUAAAGCACUUGCAC